GAUGAACGCUGGCGGCGUGCCUAAUACAUGCAAGUCGAGCGAACAGAUGAGGAGCUUGCUCCUCUGACGUUAGCGGCGGACGGGUGAGUAACACGUGGAUAACCUACCUAUAAGACUGGGAUAACUUCGGGAAACCGGAGCUAAUACCGGAUAAUAUAUUGAACCGCAUGGUUCAAUAGUGAAAGACGGUUUUGCUGUCACUUAUAGAUGGAUCCGCGCCGCAUUAGCUAGUUGGUAAGGUAACGGCUUACCAAGGCAACGAUGCGUAGCCGACCUGAGAGGGUGAUCCGCCACACUGGAGGUGACAGACGGCCCAGACACCGACGGGAGGCAGCAGUAGGGAAUCUUGCGCAAUGGGCGAAAGCCUGACGGAGCAACGCCGCGUGAGUGAUGAAGGUCUUCGGAUCGUAAAACGCUGUUAUUAGGGAAGAACAAAUGUGUAAGUAACUAUGCACGUCUUGACGGUACCGAAUCAGAAGACCACGGCUAACUACGU
rnacentral:rRNA from 1 species